rnacentral:rRNA from 1 species
GGUUAAGCGACUAAGCGUACACGGUGGAUGCCCUGGCAGUCAGAGGCGAUGAAGGACGUGCUAAUCUGCGAAAAGCGCCGGCGAGGUGAUAUGAACCCUUGACCCGGCGAUGUCCGAAUGGGGAAACCCAGUGUGUUCCGACACACUAUCGUUAACUGAAUACAUAGGUUAACGAGGCGAACCGGGGGAACUGAAACAUCUAAGUACCCCGAGGAAAAGAAAUCAACCGAGAUUCCCCCAGUAGCGGCGAGCGAACGGGGAGCAGCCCGGAGUCUGAAUCAGCUUGUGUGUUAGUGGAACGGUCUGGAAAGUCCGACGGUACAGGGUGAUAGUCCCGUACACGAAAACACACUUGCUGUGAACUCGAAGAGUAGGGCGGGACACGUGGUAUCCUGUCUGAAUAUGGGGGGACCAUCCUCCAAGGCUAAAUACUCCUGACUGACCGAUAGUGAACCAGUACCGUGAGGGAAAGGCGAAAAGAACCCCGGCGAGGGGAGUGAAAAAGAACCUGAAACCGUGUACGUACAAGCAGUGGGAGCACCUUCGGGUGUGACUGCGUACCUUUUGUAUAAUGGGUCAGCGACUUAUAUUCUGUAGCAAGGUUAACCGUAUAGGGGAGCCGAAGGGAAACCGAGUCUUAACUGGGCGUUAAGUUGCAGGGUAUAGACCCGAAACCCGGUGAUCUAGCCAUGGGCAGGUUGAAGGUUGGGUAACACUAACUGGAGGACCGAACCGACUAAUGUUGAAAAAUUAGCGGAUGACCUGUGGCUGGGGGUGAAAGGCCAAUCAAACCGGGAGAUAGCUGGUUCUCCCCGAAAGCUAUUUAGGUAGCGCCUCGUGAACUCAUCUUCGGGGGUAGAGCACUGUUUCGGCUAGGGGGCCAUCCCGGCUUACCAACCCGAUGCAAACUACGAAUACCGAAGAAUGUUAUCACGGGAGACACACGGCGGGUGCUAACGUCCGUCGUGAAGAGGGAAACAACCCAGACCGCCAGCUAAGGUCCCAAAGUCAUGGUUAAGUGGGAAACGAUGUGGGAAGGCACAGACAGCCAGGAUGUUGGCUUAGAAGCAGCCAUCAUUUAAAGAAAGCGUAAUAGCUCACUGGUCGAGUCGGCCUGCGCGGAAGAUGUAACGGGGCUAAACCAUGCACCGAAGCUGCGGCAGCGACGCUUAUGCGUUGUUGGGUAGGGGAGCGUUCUGUAAGCCGUUGAAGGUGUGCUGUGAGGCAUGCUGGAGGUAUCAGAAGUGCGAAUGCUGACAUAAGUAACGAUAAAGCGGGUGAAAAGCCCGCUCGCCGGAAGACCAAGGGUUCCUGUCCAACGUUAAUCGGGGCAGGGUGAGUCGACCCCUAAGGCGAGGCCGAAAGGCGUAGUCGAUGGGAAACAGGUUAAUAUUCCUGUACUUGGUGUUACUGCGAAGGGGGGACGGAGAAGGCUAUGUCAGCCGGGCGACGGUUGUCCCGGUUUAAGCAUGUAGGCGGAGGUUCCAGGUAAAUCCGGUACCUUUUAACGCUGAGGUGUGAUGACGAGGCACUACGGUGCUGAAGUGAUAAAUGCCCUGCUUCCAGGAAAAGCCUCUAAGCAUCAGGUAACACGAAAUCGUACCCCAAACCGACACAGGUGGUCAGGUAGAGAAUACCAAGGCGCUUGAGAGAACUCGGGUGAAGGAACUAGGCAAAAUGGUGCCGUAACUUCGGGAGAAGGCACGCUGAUAUGUAGGUGAAGUCCCUGCGGACGGAGCUGAAAUCAGUCGAAGAUACCAGCUGGCUGCAACUGUUUAUUAAAAACACAGCACUGUGCAAACACGAAAGUGGACGUAUACGGUGUGACGCCUGCCCGGUGCCGGAAGGUUAAUUGAUGGGGUUAGCGGCAACGCGAAGCUCUUGAUCGAAGCCCCGGUAAACGGCGGCCGUAACUAUAACGGUCCUAAGGUAGCGAAAUUCCUUGUCGGGUAAGUUCCGACCUGCACGAAUGGCGUAAUGAUGGCCAGGCUGUCUCCACCCGAGACUCAGUGAAAUUGAACUCGCUGUGAAGAUGCAGUGUACCCGCGGCAAGACGGAAAGACCCCGUGAACCUUUACUAUAGCUUGACACUGAACACUGGUCCUUGAUGUGUAGGAUAGGUGGGAGGCUUUGAAGCGUGGACGCCAGUCUGCGUGGAGCCGUCCUUGAAAUACCACCCUUUAAUGGCUGGUGUUCUAACGUAGACCCGUGAUCCGGGUUGCGGACAGUGUCUGGUGGGUAGUUUGACUGGGGCGGUCUCCUCCCAAAGAGUAACGGAGGAGCACGAAGGUUGGCUAAUCCUGGUCGGACAUCAGGAGGUUAGUGCAAUGGCAUAAGCCAGCUUGACUGCGAGCGUGACGGCGCGAGCAGGUGCGAAAGCAGGUCAUAGUGAUCCGGUGGUUCUGAAUGGAAGGGCCAUCGCUCAACGGAUAAAAGGUACUCCGGGGAUAACAGGCUGAUACCGCCCAAGAGUUCAUAUCGACGGCGGUGUUUGGCACCUCGAUGUCGGCUCAUCACAUCCUGGGGCUGAAGUAGGUCCCAAGGGUAUGGCUGUUCGCCAUUUAAAGUGGUACGCGAGCUGGGUUUAGAACGUCGUGAGACAGUUCGGUCCCUAUCUGCCGUGGGCGCUGGAGAAUUGAGGGGGGCUGCUCCUAGUACGAGAGGACCGGAGUGGACGCAUCACUGGUGUUCGGGUUGUCAUGCCAAUGGCACUGCCCGGUAGCUAAAUGCGGAAGAGAUAAGUGCUGAAAGCAUCUAAGCACGAAACUUGCCCCGAGAUGAGUUCUCCCUGAGACCUUGAGUCUCCUGAAGGAACGUUGAAGACGACGACGUUGAUAGGUCGGGUGUGUAAGCGCAGCGAUGCGUUGAGCUAACCGAUACUAAUGAACCGUGAGGCUUAACCUU